GACGAACGCUGGCGGCGUGCUUAACACAUGCAAGUCGAACGGAGUGGCGAACGGGUGAGUAACACGUGGGUGACCUGCCCUGCACUUCGGGAUAAGCCUGGGAAACUGGGUCUAAUACAGGAUCGUGUGGGAUGGGCCCGGGGCCUAUCAGCUUGUUGGUGGGGUAAUGGACUACCAAGGCGGCGACGGGUAGCCGGCCUGAUAGGGUGGACGGCCCAAUUGUGACUGAGACACUGCCCAGACGCCUACGGGAGGCAGCAGUGGGGAAUAUUGCACAAUGGGCGGAAGCCUGAUGCAGCGACGCCGCGGGGGGGAUGACGGCCUUCGGGUUGUAAACUCCUUUCACCAUCGACGCGGUAGAUGGAGAAGAAGCACCGGCUAACUACGUGCCAGCAGCCGCGGUAAUAC
rnacentral:rRNA from 1 species